GGGCCGGAGGCGGCGCCGCUGCGUGCGGUGUGUUGCGGGAGGAGGCGCGUGGCGGCCGCGGCGCGGCGGGACGAUGGAGCUCCGAGCGCAGCUCCUGCGCCGGCGGUGGGACCGUGGACCCAUGGAAUCAGUCUCUGCAUGCCUGUUCCUGACCUCGCACUUCACACUCUCAGUUUUAAUUUUGGUUGCUGUUACUACUGAUAUCUGAGCCAAAGUGGUGCUAACUGAGGGAAUCUCUGCAACUUGUAAGUCAACAAUUACAUGGUAAGAAUGCGUGUCUUUACCUUUUAAGCCAUUUCAUUUCUAUAACACUAUAGUUUAGAAAUUUAGUUGGAAAUAGGAUAGCAUAAAAUAAUGUUUUUGAAUGUUUACUAUUCAAUUUUAACAUAUUUUAAUAUAAUAACAAAUUAUAUUUUAGAACUCUUUAUCCUACUCAAUAAUUAGGACAUUAAAAGAGAAAACAUAUAACUUGAUAUAUUUAUUUAUUAUAUUAUUAUAUAUUUAUUUCAUGUUAAUUUUUUAUGGCUCUUAUUUACUUCCCUAUGUUCUUUGUUAGUUUGUUUUUUAUUUUUUGCAGUUUAGCCAAUUCUUUGUUGUCUGAAUCUUGCUAAUAAUGAAUCUGUUUAAGAAGUCAAGAUUUAAAAACAAACUAGUCAAUUUUACUAUAAUUCACUCUGAACUGAGGUUGUGGUAAUUCCAACUAUAGCAAAAAGGAGAUAUUUUAAUUAUUUGUGGAUUUCAUUGAUCUAUAUUACUGUAUUUAUUGUAUUUAUUUAUUAUACCAGGAAUUGAACCCAGGGUGCUUAACCACUGAGCAACAUCCUAAGCCUUUUCUUAUUUUUUAUUUUGAGAUGAGGUCUCAUCAAGUUGAUUAGGGCCUUGAUAAAUUGCUGACCCUGGCUUUGGACUUGGGAUUCUUCACCCUUACCUCCCAAGUCACUGGAUUACAGGUGUGCACAUCCACACUCAGCUAUAUUGCUCCAUCUUUGAGAAUUGAGGAACAAUGAGACAUUUGAGAAUAGUAGGGCAAGUCAUUCCCUUCAGCUCCAACUUCUCCAUAUGCAGAAUAACAUCAUUUGUCUUGCCUACAUAUAGAGUUUUAGAAAUCAAAUGAGAUGCUACAUGUGGAAUACUUUUAAUUUUUUUUCUUUUCUUUUUGAAGUGAAGGGAGCGAAUAACAAGUCUUGUUUUGAGACAGUAUUGAGAAAAAACAUGAUAGUAGAAAGGAUGCCAUACAAGAAGCUGAAUGACUCUAAUUUGGGCAUGUCGUUAUAGUUAUUUAACAUAGGAAAAUUGAGUUUGAUUUCUAUUCUUUCUUUUUAGAGGUAAUUUCUUUAAGGAAUAUAUCUGUGUUCUCUAACUACAGUAGAAUUAAGCUAGAAAUAAGAUUCAGAUAAUUGGGAAAUCCCCAGGUAUUUCAAAAUAAUCAUCAUAUUCUGAAAACUCAUAGGUCAAAGAAUAAGUCAUAAAGGAAUAAAAAAAAUAAAGAUGAAAACACAGCAUAUCAAUCUGAGAGAUACACCUAAAGGACUACUCUUAGGUGAAAUUUAUAGUGUUAAAUGCUCAUAUUAGAAAACAAAAGGUUUGAAGCGGUCAUCUAAGCUUUUACCUUAAGAAACUAAAAACUAAAGAACAAGUUAGACCCAGAAAAAGAAGAGGAAGGAACUGACAGAGAGUAAAGUCAAUGAAAUGGAAAACAGCAACAAAAAAUGUGGAUUUAAAAACAUUCAAUGAAGGGCUGGUGUUAUAGCUCAGUGGUAGAGCAUUUUCCAGUAUGAGGCACUGGAUUCGAUCCUCAGCACCACAUGAAAAUAAAUAAAUAAGGGGAUUAGAUUGUGGUUUAGUGGUAGAGUGCUCGCCUCACACAUGCUAGAUGCUGGGUUCGAUCCUCAGCACCACAUAAAAAUAAAUAAAAUAAAGAUAUUGUGUUCAUCUAUAACUAAAAAUUAUAUUUUAAAAAGGAGGAGUUUUUUAAAAAAAGAUAUGAAACCAAACUGGUUAUUUGAUACAGAGUAAAAUUGAUAAGCCUCUAAUCAGACUAAUAAGGAACAAAGAAACAGAAAACAGAAAUUCCUAUUACCAGAAAAGAAAGUGACACAUCACUACAGAUUCUAUAGAUAUUAAAAGGACAAUAAAGGGAUAUUAUCUUGUAAUGUAUUUGAUAACUAAGAUAAAUGGGCAGAUUCCAUCAAAGACACAAACUUCCCAGACUGGGGUGGUGCCUCAGUGGUAGAGCUCUUGCCUAGCAUGUGUGAGGCACUGAGUUCGAUUCUCAGCACCACAUAUAAAUAAAUAAAAUAAAGGUCCAUGUACAGCUAAAAAUUAUUGGGAGAAAAAAAAAGAUACUUUCAAAUUGCUGUCAAGAAAACAUGGAUAAGUCUCUAUUAAGGAAGUUGAACUUGUACUUUAAAACACUCCUACAAAGAAAGCUCUAAGCUUACAUGGCUUAACUGGUAAAUUCUGCCCACCUCUGAUACUAGUUAAGCACAAACUCUUCAAAAAAUGGAAGGGAGAGAACAUGACGUUAUUUUAGAAGAUCAGUAUUACCCUGAUACAAAAAAAGAUGUUAUUUAAUAAAAUAUUAGUAAAUUGAAUACAAUUAAUGUUACUAAACUAAGUCUAGCUGCUCACCUAACAGCAGGGUAGUUAAGUCAAGAGACAAAGUGUUAAGGCAAGGAAGGUGAAUUUAUUUCGAAAGUCAGCUAAAGGAGAAGAUAGAAGACUUGUCACAAAGCCCAUUUGUGUAGAAGCUGAUUUAGAGUGCUUUUUGCAGGUGCUUUAUAGGUAUCUUCCCAUAGAGGGUGGGCCAGAUACUUGCUAUCUGAUCCUUCUUGCCUAGUCAUGAAAUGUUUUUAAGUUCUUCAGAUCUCAAAAACAGAGAUCAGUUUUUCCUCAGGCUAUUUCUGUCACCAAUUAUUUACAUGUUACACAUUGUGUAAGCUAGAGGCUGAGUAGUUUCCUAAAGGCCAUCUUGUUCAUUGCCAAAUUCCCAAUAAUGAAAGAAAACAUCCUAAUGCUUAGUCUCAUUAGUUAUAUACUACAAACUUCUGGAAAUGAAUGAAAACAUUCUGAAUGCUCAAUUUCAUUAAUAUGAAAAGGAUAAUCCAUCCUGGGUAAGUGCCAUUUAUUUUAUAAGUGAAAGAUUGGUUCAGUAUUUGAAAAUUGUAGUUCAAAAUAUUAACAGAAUGAACAACAGAAUUUUAAAAAACCAUAUGGUCAUCUUCAUAAAUGCACAGAAAAAGGCAUAUAACAAUACUCACUAUCAAUUCAUGAUAAAAGCUUAGAAAGAUAGGAAUAGAAGGCAAACUCUCACAAACUUAGAAAUAGGAGCUUUGUCAACUUGAUAUAUCAAGAGAUCUAUGUAAAACUGUAGCUAAUAUUGUAAUUAUUGGUAAAAGACUAAUGCUUUCACCUAACAUUAGGUGCAAAGCAAGGGUGGUCACUUGUAAUAGUAACGACAGUAACUAUUCAAUAUAGUACUGUUAAUAUAAUAAAGCAAGAGAAAGAAAUGGCAUUCUGUUAAGGAAAGACAAAUAACAAAUCAAAUUCACAAUUCACUUAGCAAGGAAGUCUAGGAAAUGAUGAUUUAGACUUUAAGUCUCAUAUAAGGAGGCGCACAGAAGGAGUUGGGAAUUGAUGCUGAAUGCUACAGUUACCAAUCAGUCAGGGGUUCUUUUGCUUGGUUUGGAUAGAAAUCAUGAAAAGGUAAAGUGCAUCUUAGUGUUACCAGCUCUGAGUGCCAGCAUCCCUUUACCCUUAGUGUAAUCUUAUCCUCAAGGUGUUAAUAGCUGUCCCAGCCAGCUGCCUUUGCAGCCAGGGUACUAUCCCCUGGCAGCUUUCAGGAGCAUAUCUAGUGAUCAGAGCUAGCGGCUUCUAGCUGCUUUUUCUCACCUCCUCCACAGCUCUCCAUUGCUCUCUAGAGUUUUAAGCAGCUCUCUGGCUGUUAGGCAUUCUAUAGGGCUAGUAGAUCUUGUUAUCAGCUUUUAAUGCAAGCAGCUCAUCUAUUUUUUACCCCAAAUAGAAAUCAUGCACCGUAGUAGAACCAUCCCAACAAGUCUUUAUUGGAAACUAUAUUCCAGCAUAGGAGGUCUAUAAACAGGACAUAGGUUUCAGACUGGCCUGAUGAGGAAGUUUGCUUUUUAGCCAAACAGGGAUAGGUUAAUACACGUGCACAGUCUCCUGUUGACUAAACUCAGGCUUUCUGCUUAGUCAGGCCAGCCUGCAUAGGUGUAUUAUGGCUCACCUGUUCUGGCUGUUGUGGGCUGGGGAGGUGCUCCUUUUCUGCCAGAAUGGGGGCAGCUGAAGGUGGGUGGAGGCAUCCAAAGUGGCUACAGGUUGGAGACCUCCUUCCUGGGUGACUGACUGUAGGUUGUCUAAAGCUGCUAUAGCUGAAGUCACAUCUCCUGGAACCACUUCAGGACAGCUGAGCCUGCAGCCAUCCUGAUGACAGCUGGGUUGGACCACUGAAGAAGUAGCUGCUUGAUUGACAGCCCCGUGGCUUAUGUGGUAGUGGCAGGGCUGAAAGUCUGAUGGGACCUCAGGAGCAGUGGCAGCAUUCAUUAUAACCCAGUUAGAUGAAGCAGCAGCCCCCAAUCUCUACCUUACCAAGCCAACCAUCUGUCCUUCUUCCAGGGCAGUGAGAGUCCAGAGGCUGGGCUACUGUAGCUGUCAUUGGAACACACCCAGUGGGGCAUGAUGGUUUCCCUGGUAACCAGGAGAGCUGUGCCAGCUUCUCUGGCAAUUGCAUAAUUGGUGGUUAGAUUGUGCUUCCAUGGCUAGUCAUGCCUCCAAGGUAGCAGUCAUUUGAUGGACAAGCCCUGUUGCAUUUGCAGAAGCUUUGGUGCUAAGUCCCAGUAACUCCCUCUGAUGAGAAUCCAGGAGUGGGGCCAUUGAUAACUAGUUCACCUGGGCUUGGGGGCCCCAUCUCUACCCCAGUAUGGCCCCAUCUGUACCCAGUCUAGGGCUGCUGCCUGUUUGUGUACCAGGGUAGCAUCAGCUGCAGUUGUGCAUAGGACAAGGACUUGACAGUGGUCAGUCAAAUACCUGGGUAGUUGUUCACUUCCACCAGCUCAGGGCUUGUCUGUCAUUAACAAAAAGUCAAGUCAGAAAGGAGGUUCCUUUGGGGGGGGGUCAGUUGCACUUAUUGUUGCUCUCCAGCAGACAGACCCCUUCCCACUUUUUUAAAAAGAUGGACACAAUAUCUAUAUUUUGUUUAUUUUUAUGUGAUGAUGAGGAUUGAACACAGUGCCUCACUUAUAGGAGACAAGCUCUCUACCACUGAGCUGUAACCCCAGCCCCCUCUUGACUUUUGAUAUGAAUCUGAAAGUCCUAAAAGCACUGCAACAUUUUUAUCACUGUGGUUUUAAAUUGGUAUUUCCUUUAAAGUUAAAAGUGGGCAUCAUCUGGAGGAAAAGUUUCACUUAGCAUUUUCUUCUUUAUGGUAAUAUAACUGAGAAAAUUGUGUAUAACCCUUCAAAGGUAUGCAUUGGUUUAAAUUUCAUUAAAUAGCUUUUGGUUUUAACUUAAAGAGGAUUACUAAAACAAUGUUAAAAUGUUCUCUUAAAUUGUAAGAUGGCAAACAAAUUGUUAAAUAUAUUACAGUCAUCAUUUAGCUUCAGAUGAGUUAAAAUUGUUUUGGAUGCUUGCUGUCCAUGCCUUAGAUAUUGCCAUGUUUUGUAUUACAUUCUAUUCCCCUUAUAAUGCCUAUUGAGUUCUGCUUAGUAUUUCCUAAGUAUUUGUAUAUAUUUAUCAUGGGUAGCAAUAGAGUUGAGGGACUCUUGAAUUCCAGUCCCAACUGUCUGGGAUAGUUAGACAAAAAGACAUCUAGUGUCUCUGGUUGGUUUUCCUGAAAUUUUAUUAUUCAACGAAGGUUUUGUAGCUGAGUAGAAUGCUUAGAAAUUUAAACAAAUACAUGUUUUAGUAACUGUGUGACUUACUUUCUUUUUUCUUUUUUUGGUACUGGGAAUUGAACCCAGAGUCAUGUAAUCAUUGAACUACAUCCCCAGUCCUUUUUUAUAUAUUAUUUAGAAUAAGUUGAUGAGGCUGGCUUUGAAUUCAUGAUCCUCCUGCCUCAGCUUCCUGAGCCAUUAGGAUUAUAGGUGUGUGCCACCACACCUGGCUGUGACUUACUUUCUUAAUGACAUAUUAUAUACUUUACCCUUAUUCCAAGAAGAUCUUUGCUGCAGAAACAGCAUAAGACUUUGAUGUUUGAUGGAGCUGAUUUUGAAUAUAAGUUCUUUAAUUUACUAGUUACGUUAAUUUCAGUAAGCUAUGUAACCUAUUUGAGUCUUGUUUCUUUAUCUGUUAAAUGGGGGCAAUAGCAGACUAAAGUUGUAGUGAGAUAUGAUACAACAUAUAUAAAAUGUUUAUGUGAAAUGUUCUCCUAUUUCAUUAUUUAACUAAUUCAUUACCAUUAGCUUUAUGAUUUUGAUAUUUUAACUGAUUUUCUAUGGUUAGCCCCCUUGAAUACUGCUUUUUGAUGGUGAUCUCACUGUUUUUCAGUGGAAUUUGUUCAGAAGAACGUAAAGUUGGAUGUUUGAGAAGAAGUACAUAGUUUGUACACUUGAGGUAUUUUAUGGUUUGGUAUUUGUCUUCCUCCUUAUGAUGGCUUAGAGAAUUAGGAAUAUUUAGUUUAAAAAAACAUUUAAUGAUUUCAAAACUUUAUUUCAUGAGUGCAGUUUUGGUUGCCAGAAAUAAUGCUAUCAUAAAGCCUUUUGUUUAUAAAAAACAGAAACUCAAGGUUGGUAGCAUUCACACUGGGAACUGCCAAGCGAAUUACACAAAUUUAUACUUUUUUAACCUUAUCCUGUUUCAUUUUGUUCAUGCAUAUAAAAUUGCAAAUUUUUGACCAGCAUUAAUGAACAACAGUGGUGAUUUGGGGGCUGGGGUGUAGUUCAGUGGUAGAGCUUGUACUUAGCAUGCCUGAGGCCCUCAUUUCAAUCCUACCAUUGAAAGAAAAGUCAUCUCCUAUGAUUCAGCUUUAUAAUUGGGGAAUGGUGACAAUGUUUUCUUUACCUACUUGGCAAACCAUCCAAUUUUGUAUUUUAUAAUUCUUUGUUUUCCUUUGGAAUUCAGAUUUAUUUUGGGUUUAGGGUUUUUGGCAUUUUGGGUUUUCUUUUGUGAUUUACAUAGUCAAUGUCAUUUUCAAAUAAUUGAUACCUAAAAGUUAGAGAAAAAUAUGUGAUACAUAUAUCAUUCUUAACCAAAAGAAUUAAUGCUAAUGACAAGACUUGAAAUUUUAUGGUUAACUACCUAAUUAGAAACAAAAAUUAGAUGUUUUUGAGAAUUAAUUGGAUUGGAAGAGGUCAUAGGGCUUUAUAAGUCUGAAUAUCUAAAAAUUAUUUGGGAAUUUUUCAAAUUCUUUGAAGUAAGUAUUUUUCAGAAAGUCAGAUCUCUCUAGCAAGUGUUAAAAUACUUUCAAUGGUUUUAGCAUUAGAAUAUUUAUUGAUGUAUUUUAAUUAUAAAAAUAAUGCAGCUCUAGCUAAAUUUUGUGUUUGUAAAGUGCUUGUAAGUUAUGUUUUUAUUAUGUCUUGAAUAAGGAGCUAAUGAUUUUAUUUAAAAGCAUUAAUCUGACAAAUAUUUAGUGUGCAUUGUAAAUAAUAAUAAUAAUGUAGUGAAUCACUUAUGAGCUUUUCAUAUACUUCAAAGUAUGAUUUCAGACUGAUUAUAAUGUUGAUAAGUAGCUUCUUCCUUUUCCUAUGCAAUUAAUAAGAAAAGGGAGGUAGUUAAAAUUUUUUAAUUUGUAAGGCAAACAUUUAUUUUUUAAUAUGAAUACCAUCUAGUAUUUAUAUUCCACUUAUGACUUUUAGGGGGAUUUUAGAUAUUCUAUCUCAUUGCAGCCCUUUCAGAUAGCCAGAUAAAUUAUUGCUUCUAUAUUUUAUUUUUAAAAUAUUUAUUUAUUUAUUUAUUAGGUGUAGAUGGACACAACACAAUGCCUUUAUUUUUAUAUGGCGCUGAGGAUCGAACCCAGGUCCCGCCUGUGCUAAGGGAGUGCUCUACUGCUGAGCCACAAUCCCAGCCCAUCUAUAUUUUAAAUAAGGACAUGAGGAUCAUCAGAGUCUUAAAUGGCUUACUCCAGGCAGUUAUAGCUCCUGAAGAAUCUUGAGGCUUCUUCCUGUAUUACCAUCUGCUUAUUUGACCACUGGGCUAGAUUUCUAGGCCUCUUACAGAGGAGCUGUUUAGGGGUCAGGCUGUUUUAAGACAUAUAUUCUGUAAAUUGGUAGAACAAAUUCUUUUCAGAUGAGGGAAUUCUGUAUACAGAGACAGAGGAAGACUUUUGUUAGGAAUUUGGUUAGCAUUUCUUUUUAUUGUUCUUGUCAUAUCCUUUAAUUGUGGCACCAUGUAUGUACUCUUGGAGAUGUGCCUAAUUGCUAAAUCUUUCAGGUUUGUUUUUUUGUAUCAUAAUAUCUAGUAUGGUGUCUGGCGAAUAGUAACCUUUUUACUUGGCCUUCAUGUUAGCAUGGAAAAAUUAAAUAAAUGUACAUUUAUCUUCUAAUUUUCACUCAGGAAUACCUCCAAUGAUUGAAUUUUAAGACUUUUUAUUGAGGCAUAAUUGAUUUACAUAAGCUGUGCUUAUUUAAAAUGUACCAUUUGAUAAGCUUUGAAAUGUAUAUACAUUGCCAGUCUGACUAGGAGUCUUUGCUCCUUUAAAGACAGAAAUCAAGAAAAGGCAAAGAACACAGCUCUUUAGUAUUGCCAUCUCUGAACUCUUAGAAUUACCAGCUGAGCUUUUGGGCCCUUUUGCUCAAUUUGAGAUAGAAAUGAAGAAAAGGCAAAGCAGUACCACCCAAAAGAGGCUUUUCUGGGGCUUAUGCUUUUUGAGCACAAGGAAAACAGUACAUGGCAUAGGGCUCUGGGACUGGCUUCCUGAGGAUGUAGUCAGUGAAGCGUAUAUAGCCAAAAAGGAUGGUCUCACAGAGGCACACAGUCUGUUGUUACACAUUUUUACACUUGUUUAAUUGGUUCUUUGCUGUGGGUACCAGGAGUUGUACUUGACAUGGUGAUCUGUUCAUGUGCACUUGGCUUCCAAGAGAUGAUGGAGGUGCUUACUACUGUUAUCCCUGGAGGCUGCAGGAAAAUCCCUUUAUAAGAUUCAUGCGCUGGAUCUUAGCAGUGGUAGCAGAAGCUCUCUUAGUGGCAGCAGUUUGGCUGGAAGAGAGACUGUGGAGGGUGGGGGGGCUGCCUUGCAGAGUCAAGUGUCCAAACUGGGCUAGAGGCAGGUGCACUGGGACUUGUCCAGUUCUGGACAGACAUGCUCUGUGGGGCCAGAGGGACUUGUGAUCAUUACCUUCCUCUGCACUCGCUGGCACAAGUUGUUGCCACAGCUGGUUACUGAGCAGGAAGAUGGUCAGGACCCCAUUGCAGGUCCACAGGGAGGACAAACUUUUCCAAAGUGAUUGCAUUGCAUAUGAGAGUACCAUUUUCUACAAAUCCUCAUCAAUAUUUUAUAUGGUCAUUAUUUUUAAGUUUGGUUAUUCUAAUAGUUAUACAGUGAUAUCUUGUGAUUUUGAUUUUCUCUGUGUGAGGACUAUUACUGGCGUUGAGCAUCUUUCAUAUGUUUAUGUGCCACCUAUGUGUCCUCUUUGGAAAAGUAUCUGUUCAAAGCUUUUGCUCACUUAAAAAAUAGAUUUUAAAAUUGAGCUUUGACAGCUCUUAUGUAUUUUCUGUAUAAGACUUAUUUCAAGAUUUAUGAUUUUCACUUUUCAUUUUAUUACCGCCCCCACACACACAUCCGCCUUCUUACCUCAGAAAGGAAUUCUUGGGAGAGAGAUGGUUAAAAAAAAAGUUAGAAUUAACUCCUUGCCUUUUUCUUCCCUAUUCUUUCUUUUCUAUCCUUUUUUCAGGAUAUUUGGUCUGCAUUCUCUUUUCUUCAUGCUAGCUUCUCACCUGACUGUACAUGAAUGAAUCCCUGUGAGAGUUGUCCACUCUUCAAGACACAUGUGAUCCGAAUUAGUGAAUGUUUUUGUUUCUUGAGUCUGGGGAUGUGCUAUUCCAGCUAUGAUCAUUGUUGACCUAGCUUCCCUGGGCACAGUUGGGCAAUUUAAGCCUAAUCACAAGUACCUUAAAAGGUACUUGUCAGAAGCCAGAACACAGAUUCAGAUUUAAUAAUGACAGUGUUGAAGACAACUUAUCAAUAUCCCACAAUUAAUUUAUUAAUUGUUGUUUACUUCUAAUUUAAUCAUACGGCAUAAUUUCUAUUGCUUGCAAUUUGUUGACUUUUUUGUAUGCGACCUAAUUCAUGGUCAUAUUUUACAACUUUUCCUUGCAUUUUUAAAACCAAUGUGCAUUUUCACAUUUUCUUACAGCACUUAUAAGUAAAUAUAAAUCCUGGUUGUCUUAUGUAGUUAACAUUGCAGUUAACAUUCUUGUACAUGAAUCCUUGUGCACAGUGAGAAUGUUACUCUCACAAUAAGAAGUGUAAUUGCUAGAUCAAUAAUAUGCAGGUGUUUGGUUUUAUUAGAUAUGGCUCUUUGGAACUCUCUGAUUCCCUGCAGUUUUUCUAAGACUUGAUAGAGCCACACAUACAUUUUUGCUGGUCAAUGAAGGGAAAAGUAGUAUUUUAUUGUUAUCUUCUGUCCUGAUUUAUGAAGGAGAUGGGGCAUCAUCUUAUUUCUUGGUUGGGUGUCAUGUUUGUUUCUUGGGUGGGACUUGCCUCAUUCUUCUGUUAUGUUCUACAACCAUGCUUGCUGAUGGUCACAGUUUUCCUGUCUUAUUUUUGGCUGGUGGUUUCAUCCUUUGAUCUUUUGGAAAUUAUUAUUCAUAUUCCUGCAGCAUUGUAUAGAUAUUUGAAAUAUAGAUUUUCUUCAUCACUUCUAUGGAUUUGAAACCAAAGGGGAAACCUAGACUAAGUAUUCUGUUUAUUGUUCUUAACUACACUUGUUUGUUUUUUUUAGUCCGCCAGUUCAGAUUAUGUAAUUUAUGAAAUAAGUUCCUGUAAGUGAAAUAUUACCAUUCAUAGAUAUAUGCUGUUAUACCUACCAUACAAACCCUAAUCAUAAAUGUCCCAUUUUAGUUGAGAAAUAUGCCUAGCAUGUGUUAGGUCCCCAAAGAACAGUAGAGUUAGGCAUGGUGGUGCAUGCUUGUAAUUCCAGUGACUCAGGAGGCUGAGGCAGGAGUAUUGCAAAUUCAAGGCUAGCCUUAGCAACUUAGCAAGACCCUGUCUGAAAAUAAAAGCUACUGGCGAUGUAUCUCAGUGGUAAAACAUGCCUGGGUUCACUUCCCAGUAUAAAAUAAAAUAAGAGUAGACAAGAUACAGUCCCAAAUUGAGGAAAAAGAGAUAAUCCUUCCUUGUCCUGGAAUUUGCAUUUUUUUAAGUCUUACCCAAUACAACAGUGUUUUUCUGUGUCUUCUUAGAGGCUAAGUAUCUCUCCUAGUCUUAUACAUACAACUUCUUGUCCAAAUGUCAAAUGGAAUUUGAGUUACCAAGAACCACACUGAAUCCUGGUCUGAGAGGUCUAGGUAGACUGCUUCUCUGGCCUGGGAAGUUUUAAGAGAAUACACAAAUAUCUGGGUCUGUACAGUGGUUAACCCAGGACCAAUCAUGUUAUAAAAAGCCAUGAAUAUUGUAAGUGCAAACUAGAAUAAGAUGGGGGUCUAAAACUUAUGCAUAAAAUCAGCAGCAAAGUAGUAUGAGGAGUUCAGGGAUCCGACAAAAUCAUCAGUUUAAUAAAAUGUCUGAUAAAAAUGGAAACUUGGAAAUGUAGACCAACUCUUACUUUUUACAGUCACAGAGGAAAUGGUAAGGUACUUAGAGUUAAAAAUUGGGAGGGACGUUUAGACAUAGAGGGAAGAAGAAUGAAUAGAAGCAUUAAUUAGAAAUUAAUGAUUACUUGUAUAUUGGGACAGUUUUAUUUACCUUGGCUGCCCUUAUAUCCUGGUAAGAUAGCCUCUGCUUAUUGGCAUAUUUACAAAUUGAGUUCAGAGGUAACAUUUACAAAUGGGUCAUGGUAGCAGAGCGCCAGUGGAAGUUGAAGACUGGGGUUAUGAUCUGGAAGAUUUUGAGUCUCAUGGUUUCAGUCUUUGUAAGAUAAAGAAAUUGGUCUAGAUAUCUAGGGUUCCAUUUAUCUUUAAAAGUAUUUUAUUAAAUAGCUGGCUUUCUCUGGGUAGUCAAAACACAAUAGGAAAAUAGUUCCUGGUAAUACCAUCUUACACUGUACUGUAACUUAUUUGUCUUUGUCUCUCACUAAACCAUUAACUCCUCGAGGAGAGGAAUUUCAUUUUACUGUUUUCAUCUGUUCGUGCUUUUUAUUUCUACCAGCUUGAGCAGUGUUUGAAGAGUAAGCGAAUCCACUAUGGUAGUUUCUGAAAUUCAGUUGAAUAAAUGACUGAAAGAGGGGUGGGGGGAAACAUAACAAAACUUGAGGGAACCCAGGAGAGCAAAUCUGUUUUUAGAAGGGAAAACAAGCCCACUCUAAUUAAGAAGCUUGCACAAUGGCAUGCAGUAUUAGGGCAGAACUAGAAUUAGAUGCUAAAUCCCCCAGUUCUUUAUCCAGUGUUGUUUAAUGGAUCUUUCUGUCUCUAAUCCCACGGAAACAUACAAAUCACAUUCCAAAUUGCAAGAGUAACAUUUAUGUCCAUGAAAUUAUUCUGAUUAAAUUUCUGUGAUAAGUCUUCUCCCCUUUCUCCCAAAGGAUAAUAAUGUGGCUCUACAAGAUAAAUGAACAGGUUGGGAGUUCAGGAAGCCCAGGCCCUUGUUUUGGCAGUGGGAAUGUAAUGUAAUUAGUGACUGUCUUCUGGGAAAUGUCAGAAGGCACUUGAUUUCUUGCAGGGUAGCAUAAACUGAGGUAGGCUGAGGCAGUUGUUGCCCUUGAAAAUAAAAAGGGCACAGUAAAAUGGAAAGGCAGAGGAACUGUUCAGCCAGGAUCAUGUUAUUCUACAUGGGCAUUUGCACAGGACUUCUUCUGCCUGGAUGACUUUUAUUCUGAGGUGAGCACAAGUAAAUCUGAUUAAAAAGUCAAACAUCUGUUGUGUGUGCACAUUUAGUUCUCUAUGUGUAAUGUAGUCUGUAUUGCCUGAUUUAGCUCUCCCAUGUGCUAUAUACUCUUAAAUGCCUGGCACACAGCAAUCAGAGCAAAGGUUACUGGCACAUUGGGAAUAGAAAAGACAGAAUCAUUAAUAAUCAUUCUGCUAACUGCGGAUUGUAAAAAUUUGCAGGGCAGGCUUUGUGACUGUGCAGUGGAGAAAAAAUAUGCAUCACAAAUCUAUUCAGUUGAUCUUGUACACUCGUCCAUUUCUAGCUAUUAGUAAAACAAUUUUGAAACAUGUCACAGUAAUUUAAUGAAGUUGAUAGGUUACAGUCCCAUCAACCCUUUCUGCAAUGGCAGAGGAUCACAGUCAUGGGUUUCAAUUUAGUUUAUUCAGCCCAUUGCAGUACAGUUUAUGUGUGAAAGCUCUUAUCUGUGCAAAUCUAGCAAUUGUAUUUUUUUAACAGUUUGCUCAAUUUGGGGUCUGCACACAUGAAAACUGAAUAUACUCAGUGUUCACAUAUCAAGAAUGCCAGUUUGCUGUUUUUUUCUUCUUUGUGAAUAUAAUUUGCACUUUAAAGUCUUAAAAGAAAAGGCUGGUAUGUUAAUUUUGUUCUUAUUGUGAUGGCAGAGUGUUUCUCUUACAAUUAGGAUGUAAAAAUGUUGGGAGAGAACAUUGCUUUUAUUGAAAGAAAACAGAAAAACCAGAUGAUCCUCAAAGUAAUAAUUUUUCUUAAAUCUCCAGAAAUGACAACCCUUCCUGAGGAGAUAUAAGACAUUUGGGUAUUUCACUGGAUAGCAGAGCACAAGAGAAACAUGUGACUACCAUAGAAAUGAGUAAGAUGGUAUCAGUUGAAAUUUUAGUGAAAUAAUGAAUUCUUACAGAUUGAAUGUUGGCUUAUACUCAGUUUAGAGUAAGUGGGAACUUCAGAUACAAGGGCAACUUGCACCUACAAGAUCUUUUCUACAGGACUCCAUUGGGCAGGAUAUUUAUAGGAAAAAUUAGGGGCAAACUUGGACAGAAUGGCCAUGAUGGUUAGACAUGAUGUAAAGUCUGCUUCAUCAGAGGCUUAUCUUCUGUGACAUAAAAGUUACUCGGAGGACACAAACCUUGUAGCCCAUAGGACCCAGCAACAGUCUACUGUUUUGAGAUAAAACAAAUAAUAAGAAGCAGACUCAGAAAUGCCUUAGAUAUGGGAACUAUCAGACGUGAACUUUAAAAUCACUAUGAUUAGUAGUUAAAGAAUGUAGUGGGAAAAGUGAACAAUAUCCAUGAACUUAUGGAAAAUAUCAACAGAGAGAUGAAAACCAAAAAUUCUUUUUAAAAUUUGGAUGAAGCCUGGCAUGGUGGUGUGCGCCUGUAAUCCCAGUGAUUUGGGAGGCUGAGGCAGGAGGAUUGCAAGUUUGAGGCAAGUCUCAGCAAUUUAGUGAGGCCCUAGGCAACUUAGUUGCCUACAAAAAGGGUUGGGGAGGUAGCUCAGUGGUAAAGUACCUGUGGGUCCAGUCACCAUUCCCUUCCCCUCCAGAAAUGUUAAAUGGAAACUACUGCAUUGGAUUUAUCAACAAACUUAGAUUUAGCUGAAGGAAGAAUCAACUUACUAAAGCUAAAUCAACAGAACAUAAAAAGAAAUAAAGCAUUAAAAGAAGUGAGAGAAAAGUUAAAAAAAUAAGGGAGAAAAAAGAGGGAAGACAGAAUAGAGCCUCUUAGAGCUGUGGAGCUGUAUCAGUACUCUAAUAUGGAUAUAAUUUGAAACCUAGAAGUAAAAGAGAAUUGUCCAGAAGAAUUACCUGAAGGGACAGUUGCUGCAAAUUAUCCAAAAAUUAAUAAAAUACAGUAAGCAACUAAUAAAAAACAAAUAGAUCCAUGUAUGUCAGAGAAUCUGAGUGGGGUUAACAACAACAAAUAUGAACCUCCCUAAUUCUAGAAACACCAGAGUCAAGCUGCAGAAAUACUAGAGAUAUAGGAGUCUUUAUGGCAGGUGCUAGCUGUAAUUUAUGCCAACAACAUUACAGAGGAACAGAUAUAAGAAAAGAGCAGACUUCUCGUCGGAGAUUAUGAAGUCAUGUAACAGCGGAACAACAUCUUUACCAAAAGACUAAGGGGUGGGGGAGCACGUUAAACUCAAUACAAAGUUUCAUACCCAUCAAAGUAUCCUUCAAAAAUAGCGCAAAAUAAAGAACUUUGCAGGCAAUAAAUAACUCAGGGAAUUUACUGUCAGGAAAUCUACACUCUAAGAAAUGUUAAAGGAUGCUUAGGCAAAGGAUUGUGAAAUGGCAGUUUGGAUCCACACAAAGAAAUGAAGGAACUAUGAAAUGGUGAAACUUAAGUUAAAUGCAAGCCAUAUUGAUGCAAACCAGGUACCCCUCACCAUAAUUGUAACAUACAAGCUUCUCCAGGAACCCCCACCAUAAUUAAGCUUCUUGUCAGCAAGAUCUUACUAAGGGUAUCAGUGGGAUUUCACAGGAGUUCUGUGGAGAGCUCAAUGUGGUUUGAAGCUUCCUCUUUCUUAUAAAUGCCAGGUUUGCAGACAAAAGAUAUGUAGAUUCUGUCUCAAAGAGAGCUUAUUAUAAAAAAAAAAUACUCUCUCUUUUUUUUUGAAUAUUUUUGUAGUUGUAGGUGGACAGAAUGCCUUUAUUUUAUUGGAUUUAUUUUUAUAUGGUGCUGAGGAUCAAACCCAGUGCCUUAUGCAUGCCAGGCAAGUGCUCUGCUGCUAAGCUACAGCCCCAGCCCCCUAUCUCUGUUUUCCUUGGCAAAAAAUGUGUGAAACCUCUGUCUGACCUGAAAUAUAGGACCAAGAGUAACUGUAAUAUACCCACCCACUGUCAUGUAACCACUCUAUAGAGUAUAAAUCUAAAAGAAUUUCCAGACCUGGGGUGCAGAGAAUUUUAGGCCUUAGCCCUUCUGGACUGCUACAGUGUAAUUAAACUUGCUUCCUGAAUAUUCCUCUGGUAUCCAGCCUCAUCUGUCCUACAUCAAUAAUUUCACUUAUUUUUAAUUAAUUCAAAUGGUAAUUAAUUGUUCAAAAACAGUAACUAUUUAUUAUGGGUUUAUAAUAUAAGAAGUAAAAUAUAUGGCAACAUAAUACCAAACAUGGAGGGAGAAAAUAGAAAUAUAAUGUGUGUAUUAGUAAGAAUUCUCCAGAACAAAAGAACCAAUAGGACACAUAGUUAUUUAUAAUGAAAAUUGUCUCAUAUGAUUUAUGCAAGCCAAGGAGUCCCAUAACUAACCUGAGGUUAGAAGGGGGUUGUUGGUGUAAGCCUUGUAGUUUGAAGGUCUGGGGGCCAGGAGCUUCAGUGUCUGAGGGCAGGAGAAGAUGGCUGUCUCAUGUCAAAAAGAGAGAAUUUGUCCUUCUUUCACCUUUUUGUUCUAUUUGAGCUCUCAGAGAAUUGGACGAUGACCACUCAACCCCCCACAAUGCCAGGAGAUGGGUGAGUGCCCAGGAGAGUAAUAAUAAUAAUAAUAAUAAUAAUAAUAAUAUUUUUCUAUUUAAGGUUUGAACACUUGAGAACUCUUGAGUAGGAAGGAAGGCAGAUUUGUUCUUUGUUGCUUCACAGAGAAUAGCAAAGGAUCAGUAGAAGAUAUUUUGCUCAAUAUCAAUUAUUCUUCCCACAGAUUUUUAUUGAGCCAACCAUAUGUAAAUUAACAGCUAAGUGUGAGAUGAGUUUCCUGGAAAAACAGUGGGCUGUGUCUGAGUAAUGUUCCAGCACAGACACAUGAUUGUCAAGGAAACCAUAGAGAGGAUUCCUGCCCAGGCAGGAAAAUGGACAGGAUGGUUUUUAAAGACUGUUACACCUCUUAAGAGUCUGGGGUCACUGAACCAUGAAGAAUUUCAAGGACAAUGCAGAGGGGCAGAAGUGAGUGUCCCUUAAAUACAUUAAACACAUUGUUUCCAUUUCAAAGAGAGGCAAAGGGGCAGGGUCACUCCUACCCCUUCACUGCCACAAUUUAUUUUUAUUUUUUUCCCAGUUUUUGGGAGUAGUCACGUUUUUAAAAUUAUAAUUAUUGGCAAAAUAUUGUACAAAUUGAAGGAUUCACUGCAAUAUUUCCAUGCCUAUAUACAUGGUGCAUUAUUUAUGUCCAGCCGCCCUUCUUCCAUUCAAGCCCCCCUCCCUUACCCCUUCCUUUUAGCACCCUUCCCAGUACCUAAAAGUCCCUCUUAAUUCCUCAGUGUUCCCACUCCCUGUUGUCCUUCCCCAUCUCUAGUGACCACUAUUCUGUUCUGUACUUCUACAAGUCUGAAUUUUUGGUCUCCUUAAAUGAAUGAGAACAUGUGGUAUUUAUCUUUUCAGUGUCUGGGUUAUUUCACUCCAAAAUAAUGUUAUCUAGAUGCAUCCAUUUUACUACAAAUAACAGGAUUUUCAUUUUGUGUGUGUGUGUGUGUGUGUGUGUGUCUGACUAGUAAUCCAAUAUGUAAAUAUACCAUAUUUUCUUUAUCCAUUCAUCUGCUAAGGGCAUCUGGGUUGAUCCCAUAUUUUGGCUAUUGUGAAUGGUGCUGCAACAAACAUGGGGGUGAAAGUAUCUUUGGUACCAAGAUUUCAACUCCUCUGGGUAUAUACCCAGUCGUGGCAUUGCUGGGUCCUAUGGUAAUUUUAUUUUUAGUUUUUUGAAGCAUCUCUUAUUGUGUUCCACAAUGACUGUAUUAAUUUACAUUCCCACAAGCACACUGCCACAUUUUUUUGUCCCAAGGAAUAAAGAUUAAGCCACUAACAAUGGCUAUGGAAAUACUGGAAUCAUAAAUCAUAACAGGUAAAUCUCAGAAGACAUUUUCUUUGAGGACAUUGAAAUACUCUACACACAGAUAAUACAUAUGUAGAAGAUGCUGUGCAAUGAUGCUGGUACCAUUGUUUGUGGGGCAGUCUUGCCCUACAGACUCCCAAAUCCUUGAAAACAAGGAUUCUGUUUUCUUUAUCUUUAAUUCUGCAUGCUUAACAUAGUUGCUGGCCCACAGUUUAUGCUCUGAACAUUUUUGAUGAAUUAUCUAAACGAUUUCAGAUUUCUAUUCUUCCAGAAAAUUGGUACCAAGAAUUUUCAAUGGACAAGCCACUGACCGCGCUUGUUCUUAUAAGGAAUUAAAGUAAAUAAAAACAAGCUCAUCAAGAGGCACACAUGGAGAUGAGAUUAAAAAAAUAUAUACAUCUAAGAUAAUUAAGUAGUAACAUUAAAGCUAUUGAUCAGGUGACAAAAUGAGAAAAAGAAAUACUGUUGAAUUCCAGAAGAAAGAGAGUGGUGUGGAGAGGUAGGGAAAUUCUGAUCUACUUAUAAGAAAAUAACAAUUUUUUUUGAUUCAUUUUUUAGAUUCAUUUCUCAAAGGAACAUUCGCUCCAAGCCGGGUGCUAUGGCGCAAGCCUAUAAUCCCAGUGGUUUGGGAGGCAGGAGGACCAUGAGUUCAAAGCUAGCCUCAGCAAUUUAGUGAGGCCCUAAGCAACUCAGUGAGACCCUAUCUCUAAAUAAAUACAAUAGGGGCUGGGGAUGUGGCUCAGUGGUUAGGUGCCCCUGGGUUCAAUCCCUGGUUCCAAAAAAAAGAACAUUUGUUAACUCUAGCUCUGAACUAAGUAAGUUUGUUUUCUUCAAUCCUUCAUGCAACAAGAUACAAAUAUAGACAUAUUUUAAUUCUUUUUCUUCAUCAUUUGCCAUAUAUUUUGAGGAUUAAAAAAUGGCAUUUUCAAAGCUUUGAGUAGGGAGCAAGUGUUAUUUUUGGAAGUCAGAUUGAAUACAUAAAGAAAGGCACAAAAUAGUCUGUGAUAACUACAGAAUCAUGAAAGGGAGGGAAAUAAUGGAAUAAGUCAUAAAAGUAUGUGUCAGGAAGGGGCAAAAUUGUGAUGUAUGCAGACAAGGGGAGAAAUAAAAAAUGUCCAUGCAUUUCUGCCCCUUUCAAUACUUUAUUCACACAAAUUACUCAAUACAGUUUCACUCUAUAGGUUCUUUUUUUUUUUUUUUUUUUAAGAGAGAGAGAAAGAGAAUUUUUUAAUAUUUAUUUUUUAGUUUUCGGCAGACAUAACAUCUUUGUUUUUUGUAUGUGGUGCUGAGGAUCGAACCCCGGGCCGCACGCAUGCCAGACGAGCGCGUUACCACUUGAGCCACAUCCCCAGCCCACUCUAUAGGUUCUUAAUCAAGAAAACGACAAUCCUUAAUGCUAGGCUCUGCAAUAGACAUAAUCAAUUCACAGCAAAGGAUUCUAGAUUGAUUGAUUCACAGCACACAAUUCUAGAUUAAUUCUAAGCACCACAAAACACACUUAAUCAUGAUAGGCUAAUGACAGACAUUCCCUCUGCAUGCUAAGUUCAAAAGUCUUAAGCCUUAGGCUUUAUGUCCAGCAGAUGCACACUCACUCAGACCGCAGUGACCAGGUCCGGAACCCAGGAAGGUUUUUCCUGGUGUGGAGUGGACGACUAGUUGAGGACUGGGGAGAAGGGAGAAGUUGCAGCUCUCACCAAGGUCCAGACGAGGUGGUAGAGUUUGAGAGCAGUGAGGAUAACACAGAGGAUCAGGAAACAAUGACGAGUGAUGGGAUGUCCAGUCCUCAUCAGGCUCUCCAGCUCGAGUGCAUCCUUGUUUCGGCUGGCUGAAUCCCUGUUCAUUUGCUCUAUCAUUUAUACUAAAUUUUGGGGCUCUUGAUCCCCCUUUCAAUCCUUAUCAGCUACCACCGGAUUUCUCAGUGACAUAAUUUACCCUGGGGUCAGAAAUAUCUGGUCUGGUGGUCUCCACCCUGAUCUUCUCACCUUUCCCUUUUAUCAGGCGAGGACAGCCUGCCAGGGGCUUCACUCUGUUUAUCAGGGUGAGGGGAAGGAACUUGUUUGUGACCAUAAUGGAGGGCUCUGUGGGUGUGCCUAGUGAGACUGCAGGUUUCAAACUGGAGUUUUUAAAAUGGAGUUGCUUAAGCUUAGGACUAAGGCCAUCCUAACAGUGUGUGUGUGUGUGUGUGUGUGUGUGUGAGAGAGAGAGAGAAUCUGACAGUGUUUUUAUAGAAUUAGAAUUUUAGGAGGUCAUCUGGUUCAUCUGGUCAUCUUGUUUUAUAGACAAGGAAAGUGAAAAUCUGGAGAAGACAUAGGGCUCAUUCAGAAUCAUGGCAGCAUCAAGGCUAGACUCCAAGUCCCCACGUUGUCUUCAGGGAUUUCUUCUCUUUAUGUUCAGAGCUGCCACAGCUGGACAGAGAAAAGAGCUUCAGUUGUUUGGAAAGAUGAACAUUUACUUCCACAGUCUCCAUUCCCCUGGGAAGUAGAUGAAGGGAAGACUGAUGAAGAGCCUUAGAAUCAAAAAGUGUUGUAUUCGUUUUUCUCCAGUGUUGGGACUUUACGAAUCCUAUGUCCAGUUGAAGGUGAAAAUUGACCUGUUCAGUCUCCCAAAUUAUCCCCAAGAUCAUACUUGCUCUCUGUCUUCUCCAUCACUGCUUUGGCUGAGGCCCUCAUCAUUUCUCACCUAUGCACCCCAAAUGGCUAACAGCUCCUCGGAAUCAUGCUCCGUGCUAUUGCCAGAGAGAUGUUUCCAAAACACGAAUCUGAUCUUGUCAGCUCAGAUUUAGCACAAUCACAUAGCCCUCAAGAUUUUAACUUGGACUAUAUGAUGCGUAUGACACUAUAUGACAAUCUAACCCUCCUUUCUGACCCUCUGCCAGUGAUAUCUGAUUCCUGUGAUUGCAGUUUCUAGAAAAUCCACAUUUUAUUCUCUGUGCAGUCUCAUCCAUCUUACCUUGGCUCUGUGCCCAUCCUGCUCAUCCUUCAAGAACAGGCUGCUUUUCUCAGGUGUGAGGGUUAACACAACUCUCCCAGUAGGGUCAGCCAGAAUCUCAAAGUGUGCUCCAUGCUCUCUUUAGAUAUGUCUGUUAGUGUGUGGAUCACAUGCUCUGUAAUGGUCUGCUUCCAUGGUCUCCUCUCCUGGAGAGCAAAUUCUCCUUUAGAGCACAGACUGUAUCUGGUGGAAUUGACUCAACAAACGUUUGCAGAAAGAGAGGAAGGAAGGAAGGAAGGAAGGGAAGGAAGAAGUCAAACUGCAUCAGUAGAGAAGAGACUAACACUUUUUUGUUUACUUUUCAAAGAUUUUUUUUCAUGUGUGUGUGUGUGUGUGAAAAUAAAUGUUCCCCUAGCCAGGUAUGGUGACACCAGCCUGUAGUUCCAGCUACUUGGGAGACUGAAGUGGGAGGACCACUUGGGCCUAGAAGUUCAAGGCCAGCCUGGGCAACUUGACAAGAUCCUAUAUCUUAAAAAAACAAAACAACUUGAUGAUCUUACCUUCCCCAGUCCUACUCCUCAGAAGUAAUUUUUUUUAUAGUUCCUUUCUUCCAAAUCCUUCAUUACACCUGUAUAAAAAAGUAUGCAAACAUCUUUUAAAAAAUAAAUAUAGAAUCAUAUUAUAUGCGUUCUUUUACUGGUUUUGCUCAAUAUGUUACGAGCAUACAUAAAGAUCAACCACUUUUUUUUGAGAUCCAAUCAUAGCCAUUUAAUUUUUUUUCAGGUUUCUUUUAUUUUUUAAAAUUCUCAAUCCUAGGUAUAUAUAGAUAUAAAAGGCAAGAUAUGAAUUCAGAAUUUCUAUAGUAAUAUUCACCCCUAUUCCUUAGGGGUGAUUCCUUUCCCUGACAUUGAGUAGCUAUUGAUUACUAACUGGUUAUAGAUUAAAUAAACAAUAUCAAAUAAACUUAUCAUAUUCCUUGAGUCUUACUUUUCCUUAAGCCUAUGCCAUAUCAUUUUGAUUAAUGUUUACUUUAAGAUAGCUAUAAAGUGAUUCUUCUAUUUUUAUUUUUAAAAAGUCUUUUGUAUUUGUUUUUUAAUUUUAAUGACAGUAGGAUUUUUUUCGACAUAUCAUACGUACAUGGAGUGUAACUUCCCAUUCUUGUGGUUGAACAUGAUGUGGAGUUUCACUGGUCAUGUGUUCAUAUAUGAACAGAGGAAAGUUAAAUCUGAUUCAUUCUACUGUCUUUCCUAUUCCCAUCCACUGCCCUUCCAUUCAUUUCCCUUUGUCUAUUCUUCCCUUCCCUUCCUCCUUAUUGUGUGUUAGCAUCACUUAUCAGUGAGAACAUUCUGCUUUGGUUUUUGGGGGCUGGCUUAUUUGAUCUACCUCAUUUUAAAAAAAUGAUUGCAUCACAUCCCAUAAAAUAUAUGUGUGCCAUAUUUUAAAUUUCCCAUCAUUUAGAGAUAAGUAAGUUCUAAUUUUUAAAUAUUUAUGCUGCAAUAAGUAUCCUGAUUUGUCUUUAGUCUUUGAAUAGUUUCAACAUGGUGACACCACCAUGUUGAUUACUGUGUCUGCAAGAGCUUACCAGUGUGGAGUGAGUGAUGUGCAGAAGCCGGGAUGACGUUUGCUUUGGUCCCUGUUCUGCCCCUAUUUCUUGUGUAUUUUAUUCCCUUAGCUCUUGAUAGAGUUAGAGACUGUAAAGGGACUUCCAAGGGACACAAAGUGGAGAUUCCACAAUGUUUUGCUAAUGUAUAAGUGUCCCAGGAAACUUCGAAGGCUCACCAUCCAGUUAUAUGAAUCACUACUCUAAUUAGAUUCCAUGGUAUUAUACAAAUCUUUCUAUCUGUUUCUUUCUGUGACAUUUUUAUUGGUGCUUUAUAGUUUUACAUAAUGAUGGGAUCUGUUGCACAUAUUUAUACAUGCACACAAUAUAACUCUAUAAUUUGGCCAAUAUCACUCCCCUAGCACUUUCCUCAUCCUGCCCCCAUCUCCAAGUCUCUCCAUCUUGCAGUCAGUUAAUUAGUCAUAGAACUGUGCUCUGCAUGAAGAAGGUACAAAAUGGAUGAAUAAGAUCCAGAGAAAAAGUUUCUACCAAACUUCCUCCUUUCUUUUUCUGUAGGCAUUAAUGUAACCCAGUAGCCCACUAGUGUAUGCAUAUUGUAGGGGGGAAUAUUGUAUUUGUGGCAAUAGAAUGGGGUUUCUUUUGCAGUUAACUAGGGGAAAUGGUGUUUGCUGGGGGUCUUAAACUGCUAACCUCGUGCUUUACUCCUCCUCCUUCCCUGGCUCCUGCCUCUCCCUCUGCCCUCCAAACCCUAUCAGACCACUAGAAGGGAGGCAAGAGAAAAAGCAGAGAG